rnacentral:rRNA from 1 species
GACGAACGCUGGCGGCGUGCUUAACACAUGCCAGUCGAACGCUGAAGCUCAGCUUGCUGGGUGGAUGAGUGGCGAACGGGUGAGUAACACGUGAGUAACCUGCCCCCUUCUUUGGGAUAACGCCCGGAAACGGGUGCUAAUACUGGAUAUUCACUGAUCUUCGCAUGGGGGUUGGUGGAAAGGUUUUUUCUGGUGGGGGAUGGGCUCGCGGCCUAUCAGCUUGUUGGUGGGGUGAUGGCCUACCAAGGCUUUGACGGGUAGCCGGCCUGAGAGGGUGACCGGUCACAUUGGGACUGAGAUACGGCCCAGACUCCUACGGGAGGCAGCAGUGGGGAAUAUUGCACAAUGGGCGAAAGCCUGAUGCAGCGACGCCGCGUGAGGGAUGGAGGCCUUCGGGUUGUAAACCUCUUUCGCUCAUGGUCAAGCCGCAACAUUGGUUGUGGUGAGGGUAGUGGGUAAAGAAGCGCCGGCUAACUACGUG